rnacentral:rRNA from 1 species
UGGGGAAUAUUGGACAAUGGGCGAAAGCCUGAUCCAGCAAUGCCGCGUGAGUGAUGAAGGCCUUAGGGUUGUAAAGCUCUUUUACCCGGGAUGAUAAUGACAGUACCGGGAGAAUAAGCCCCGGCUAACUCCGUGCCAGCAGCCGCGGUAAGACAGAGGGGGCAAGCGUUGCUCGGAAUUACUGGGCGUAAAGGGCGCGUAGGCGGGAUGGCAAGUCGGUCGUGAAAUCCUUCGGCUCAACCGAAGAACGUCGGCCGAUACUGCCGUUCUUGAGGGAUGCAGAGGAGAUUGGAAUUCCCGGUGUAGCGGUGAAAUGUGUAGAGAUCGGGAGGAACACCGGUGGCGAAGGCGGGUCUCUGGGCAUCUCCUGACGCUGAGGCGCGAAAGCGUGGGGAGCAAA